UACGUAGGGUGCGAGCGUUGUCCGGAAUUACUGGGCGUAGAGCUCGUAGGUGGUUUGUCGCGUUGUCCGUGAAAACUCACAGCUUAACUGUGGGCGUGCGGGCGAUACGGGCAGACUGGAGUACUGCAGGGGAGACUGGAAUUCCUGGUGUAGCGGUGGAAUGCGCAGAUAUCAGGAGGAACACCAACGGCGAAGGCAGCUCUCUGGGACGUUACUGACGCUGAGACGCGAAAGCGUGGGGAGCAAACAGG
rnacentral:rRNA from 1 species